UACGUAGGGUCCGAGCGUUGUCCGGAAUUAUUGGGCGUAAAGGGCUCGUAGGCGGUUAGUCGCGUCGGGAGUGAAAACUCAGGGCUCAACCCUGAGCGUGCUUCCGAUACGGGCUGACUAGAGGUAUGCAGGGGAGAACGGAAUUCCUGGUGUAGCGGUGGAAUGCGCAGAUAUCAGGAGGAACACCGGUGGCGAAGGCGGAUCUCUGGGCCUUACCUGACGCUCAGGCGCGAAAGCUAGGGGAGCGAACAGG
rnacentral:rRNA from 1 species